rnacentral:rRNA from 1 species
UACGAAGGGGGCUAGCGUUGCUCGGAAUGACUGGGCGUAAAGGGCGCGUAGGCGGACGGCUUUGUCGGGCGUGAAAUUCCAGGGCUUAACCUUGGGGGCUGCGUUCGAGACGGGUUGUCUAGAGUUUGGAAGAGGGUCGUGGAAUUCCCAGUGUAGAGGUGAAAUUCGUAGAUAUUGGGAAGAACACCGGUGGCGAAGGCGGCGACCUGGUCCUUGACUGACGCUGAGGCGCGAAAGCGUGGGGAGCGAUCCGG